rnacentral:lncRNA from 1 species
GACCUGAAAACACAAAUGGGACACAUGAUGACUCUGGCUGCUCUCCAGGAGCAGCAGCAUGGGCAGACUGAAGCGCUCAUCCAUGAGUGACCCUAGCAUACUUAAGAUUACUCCACAAAGAAGAACCAAAAGAAAAUUAAUACCUUCUCCAUUGAAAGUAAAACAUACUCAGAAGUCUGCACUGUCUGAAAGGACACAGCUUAAUGAUUCUUUUAGCAAAGAACUUCAGCCUAUUGUUUACACCCCAGAGGACAGCAGAAGAACUGUUCAGGACCUCUCUCCACCCUUAGCAAGAGCGUCCUCACAUUCUGCAAAUGGAAUGAAUGAUAAUUCCCUGAAAGCACUGUGUAGAACAGAAUCUCCUCUCAGCAGAACCGAGUGUAAAGAGGGUUUGUACUCUACAUCUGCUAUAUGUGAUGGUAUCAAAAGCUUGAAAAAUAAUUUGCCUGAACCACUACCGAGCAGCAAAAGCACUUUACACAGGGUGGAGUCUUCCUCAUUUCCAACGAAGGAUUCUAGGUCUGUAUCAACAAGUGU